rnacentral:lncRNA from 1 species
AACUCAAAUCUUCAAUCUUUAGAUCAUCUCUCCAAAAAAAUCUGGCAGGUUCCAACGUUUUCAUUUUAAUAGCUUGCUUCAUUUUGUUGGGUUUUUCAAGUAUGGAGGUUAGCCUAGCAACUCGAAAUAUUCAGCACGUGUCACUAAUUGAAGUGUCACCAAUAACAUUGUCGUUAUUCCCACCAUUGCCACCAAUAAGAUCUCCGUUCUUGCCACCAAUACCGCCAAUAACAUUGCCACCAAUGACAUUGGCACCAAUAACAUUGACACCAACAGGUACACCAAUCGAGGAACCAACAGAUCCACCAACCGAGAAACCAACAGAUCCACCAACUGAGGUACCAACAUUGCCUUGAAUCCCAAAGCUACCAACAAUCCCACCAUCUUAGCCUAAGCCUAUCACUGUUCUUCCACAAGUUCCCAGCAAUAGCUUGCCUUCCAUUCCUUUCAUGUCUCCAUCUCCACCUCCAUCCAGCUAUUGAAGACAAUUUGAUUCCUAAUUAGUAUCACAUAUAUUACUGAGAAUGAACUCUGUCAUCACAUUCUCUAUGAUGUUAUUUCAUGAAAUAAGAAUGUAGUUUCUAUUUACAUUUUACAUAUAUAAUAAAGUGUGGUGUUUUUUUUAAGUUAUUAAAUUAUUAAAAUUAUAUAUCCAAAAAUAUAAACAUGAUUAAAUGUUAUACAAUCAUUUAUAAAGGUAUUAUAAUUGAUGCUAUCAACUCCAACAUAGUUAUACUUCAGGAAAAAAAAACAUAACAUAAUCACUUGCCGAUGAAUGAUGUGAUUAUUUUAGGUAUAAUUGCAAAAAAAUCCUCAACGUUUGGGGACUUUUGGUUUUGUGCCUUUGACCUUUUUUUUAUUGACACCCUCAACAUUAUAAUUUUUUUUCAGAAAUUAGCCUAAUUUUAACAAUAAAUGUGAGUUAACCGUCAAUCAAGCGCCGAUCAACGAAAUAAGUCUAUGUGGCAUACCACAUAAGCACGAUGACAUCAUCUAAAAAUUUGUUUAACAAUUUUUUUUUUCAUUUUGUUUCCUUCUUUCUUCUUCUCUCUUUCUCUCUUCCUGCUAUUACAGUAAAAACACACCCACCCACCACCAUUUUCAUCAGAGCCCACACCUGUAUUUCACUCUCUCAAAUACGCAUUUCAACUGAAUAUAUUUAUGUUUUAAUCUAAUGACAAAAAUUAAUAGAUAAAAAUAAUUCCAAAAAGAAUUAAAUGCAAAAAGAAUCUUUCAAAUUUUAAAAAAUGAAAUACCCUUUUUAUAUUCAUAGUACCCAGAAUCACAAUUAUCUCCGCAACUACCAUAAUGUAGUCUUUUCAAAUCACCAAAAACAUCAGAAUAUGAAGCCAGGGGAGGCAACUUGACUCCAAUCUCUUCAACCCCAUCACUACUGUUCUUACCCUUAACAACCUCCACCGAAAGCGAUCGUAAUGAAUUAGGAGUAGCGAUGACCCAAACCCCAUUCGAGGUCUCAUUUUUUACCCGAACCCUAUCAUCGUUCUCAGAACCUUUACGGGGUGGAGGCGGGGCGACGAAAGUAAUCAAACCCCAAGCUUCCAAGAAGCAAAAGACCUUGUGGAGUAAAGUGACGUCGUCGAUGAGGGAUUUGUGAAUUUCGGUGAAAGUGAAGCGGUGAGAAGGGUCUUCCCUGUAUUUAUUGAUGAUGAAAUCCCUGUACUCCUUGUAGAAUUUAGGGGUUCUUGAGAUUGAGCUACCUUCAAAGAAUUCUUUCAAUGCUUGCCUUUAUAUUUCGUGAAUAUUGUUCCAAGCAAACCAACCUAAGAAGAAGAAAAAGAAGAAGAAGAAAGAAAUGAGAUUUUUCAUUAGGGUUUUGGAGAAGGGGAAUAUUGAUUAAUAAAUUAAAAAGAAGGAACUUACUAGAGUAGCUCGGUAUAGUAGAAAGGUCGAGCUCUGGUUUUUCAGGUCGAUUUGAAUCUGAUGUGGGCUCUGAUGAAAAUGGUGGUGGUGUGUGUGUGUGUUUUACUAUAACAAUAGGGAAUAGAGAAAGAGAGAAGAAGAAAGAAAGAAACAACAUGAAAAAAAAAUUGUUCAACAAAAUUGUUUAGAUGACAUAAUCGUGCUUAUGUGGCAUGCCACAUAGGCUAAUUUCAUUGAUUGGCGCUUGACUGAUGGUCAACUCACAUUUACCAUUAAAAUUGCGCUGAUUUCUGAAAAAAUUAUAACGUUGAAGGUGUCAAUAAAAAAAAGGUCAAGAGCACAAAACCAAAAGCCCCCAAACAUUGAGGUUUUUUUUU